CAGCAGCCGCGGUAAUACGUAGGGUGCGAGCGUUAAUCGGAAUUACUGGGCGUAAAGCGCACGUAGGCGGCUUUGUAAGUUAGAGGUGAAAGCCCAGAGCUCAACUCUGGAAUUGCCUUUAAGACUGCAUCGCUUGAAUCCAGGAGAGGUGAGUGGAAUUCCGAGUGUAGAGGUGAAAUUCGUAGAUAUUCGGAAGAACACCAGUGGCGAAGGCGGCUCACUGGACUGGUAUUGACGCUGAGGUGCGAAAGCGUGGGGAGCAAACAGGAUUAGAUACCCGAGUAGUCCCUGUCUCUUAUAC
rnacentral:rRNA from 1 species